rnacentral:RNase_P_RNA from 1 species
GAAGUUGGCCAGACAGUCGCUGCCUGAGUAAUCAGGGGGAGGAAAGUCCGGGCUUCAAAGGGCAGGGUGCCAGGUAACUCCUGGGGGGCGUGAGCCCACGACCAGUGCAGCAGAGAGUAAACCGCCGAUGGCCACAUUCGUGUGGAACAGGUAAGGGUGAAAGGGUGCGGUAAGAGCGCACCGCGCGGCUGGCAACAGUUCGUGGCACGGUAAACUCCACUCGAAGCAAGACCAAAUAGGUUCCCUACAGGCGUGGCCCGCGCUGGGAACGGGUAGGUCGCUUGAGCCAGUGAGCAAUUGCUGGCCUAGACGAAUGACUGUCCAAGACAGAACCCGGCUUACCGGCCGACUUCAACA